AUGAUCAUGUAAAUCAUGCAGGGCUCGUGCAGGACCCUCGCCUUAACGAAGAACGGCCAGUAAAAAUUCUCAAUGAAAAUGAUGAUAGAAAUAUAAAUAAUUUGGAUAAUCCCGCUAUUGACGCUAACAAUCAUCAUCCUUAUGUACAACCUCUAGCGUUAGACAUCGCGCCUGAUGAUCAAGUUCAUCAUGAUGGGCUCGUACAGGACCAUCGCCUUAACGAAGAACGGCCAGUAGAAAUUCUCAAUGAUCCUGAUCAUAAUGACUUUUAGCCAUUUGUUGACGAAAAUAUCGCAAAUGAUAUCGAUAUCGUUAAUAUUGACAUUGAGGAUCCACCGAUGGCUUAUGAUGUACCGGAUGAAAAUAUUUUAGACCACCCUGUUUACAUUAAUUCAACCAGGGCCCUACGCUUGCAAGAAUGUUUGGAGAAUCAUCACGCUCCAGAGAUUAUCGACGUGCAAAAUCAUUUUGUAAAAUGUAAAAUAUGUAAUUAUUCAUGCGCGCAGUACGCUUGUAGUCCGUGCAACCAUUUCAAUAUUUGCAAAAAUUGUCUUAAAGCAAAAUUACAAAACCUCAUACAGAAUAACAUUCGGUUUCAAUGUCCUUCCUGGGAAAAUAACGUUUUAGAUGUGCUUUUCUUACGGUUUGAAGUUAGAGAGUAAUUAUUGAAAGAGUAAUGUACCAUUGUACCAUGUCUAUCAUUGUUAUGAUGUAAGAAUUUAUAUAGUACCUAAAUUUUAUAAGUCUGGAAUCAAGUAUUAUUGUUAUUAUGUUUGUGAAUAUAAAUAUAAAAAUAUAAUUAC